AUACGUAGGGGGCGAGCGUUGUCCGGAUUUACUGGGCGUAAAGGGUGAGUAGGCGGUUAUAUGUGUCAGAUGUAAAAGGCUAUGGCUUAACCAUAGUUAGCAUUUGAAACUGUAUGACUUGAGUGCCGGAGAGGUAAGUGGAAUUCCUAGUGUAGCGGUGAAAUGCGUAGAUAUUAGGAGGAACACCAGUGGCGAAGGCGACUUACUGGACUGUAACUGACGCUGAGUCACGAAAGCGUGGGUAGCAAACAGGAUUAGAUACCCUGGUAGUCCACGCUGUAAACGAUGAGUGCUAGGUGUUGGCCAGCGAUGGUCAGUGCCGCAGUAAACACAUUAAGCACUCCGCCUGGGGAGUACGGUCGCAAGACUGAAACUCAAAUGAAUUGACGGGG
rnacentral:rRNA from 1 species